UGGGGAAUAUUGCGCAAUGGGCGAAAGCCUGACGCAGCGACGCCGCGUGAGGGAUGAAGGUCCUCGGAUCGUAAACCUCUGUCAGAAGGGAAGAAGUUGGAUGAGGCUAAUCACUUAUCCAUUGACGGUACCUUCAAAGGAAGCACCGGCUAACUCCGUGCCAGCAGCCGCGGUAAUACGGAGGGUGCGAGCGUUAAUCGGAAUUACUGGGCGUAAAGCGCACGUAGGCUGUAUAGCAAGUCAAGGGUGAAAUCCCCGGGCUCAACCCGGGAACUGCCUUUGAAACUGUUAAACUGGAGUAUGUGAGAGGGCGGCGGAAUUCCUGGUGUAGGAGUGAAAUCCGUAGAUAUCAGGAGGAACAUCAGUGGCGAAGGCGGCCGCCUGGCACAAAACUGACGCUGAGGUGCGAAAGCGUGGGUAGCAAACAGG
rnacentral:rRNA from 1 species